UACGGGGGGGGGCAAGCGUUGUUCGGAAUUACUGGGCGUAAAGGGCUCGUAGGCGGAUUUGUAAGUCAGGGGUGAAAUCCCGGGGCUCAACCUCGGAACUGCCUUUGAUACUGCAAAUCUCGAGUCCGGAAGAGGUGAGUGGAAUUCCUAGUGUAGAGGUGAAAUUCGUAGAUAUUAGGAAGAACACCAGUGGCGAAGGCGGCUCACUGGUCCGGUACUGACGCUGAGGUGCGAAAGCGUGGGGAGCAAACAGG
rnacentral:rRNA from 1 species